GACGAACGCUGGCGGCGUGCUUAACACAUGCAAGUCGAACGAUGAAGCCGGAGCUUGCUCUGGUGAAUUAGUGGCGAACGGGUGAGUAACACGUGGGUAACCUGCCCUUGACUCUGGGAUAACUGCGGGAAACUGUAGCUAAUACCGGAUACGACCCUCGGAGGCAUCUCCUGGGGGUGGAAAGAAUUUCGGUCAAGGAUGGACUCGCGGCCUAUCAGCUAGUUGGUGAGGUAAAGGCUCACCAAGGCGACGACGGGUAGCCGGCCAGAGAGGGGGACCGGCCACACUGGGACUGAGACACGGCCCAGACUCCUACGGGAGGCAGCAGUGGGGAAUAUUGCACAAUGGGCGCAAGCCUGGUGCAGCAACGCCGCGUGAGGGAUGACGGCCUUCGGGUUGUAAACCUCUUUUAGCAGGGAAGAAGCGAAAGUGACGGUUCCUGCAGAAAAAGCACCGGCUAACUACGUGCCAGCCGCCGCCGUAA
rnacentral:rRNA from 1 species